UGUGUUUUAGGGAUGGGAGUGAGAGCUCCUCGUACUGUGUGGGUAGACUAAAGCAAGCUGCCAAUCAAGAUCUCCUUAAGAUUAUUUAGCAGGGGGAAGGAGAGAAGAGGGGGCGAUCACUUAGUGAGCUGAGCACAAGAGGAAUACCUCGCAGCUUUAGAGAAUGUUUAGAGGUAGAAGUGCGAGUGGGCAGCCCACAUUUCUUCUGCUCCCACCACCGCCAUCACACUGUCUCCUUGUCUGCUAAAAUUUCAUUAUUUUUCCAUCAAGCACUUACUCUCCAAAUUAGGCAAUCCUAAAAUGCAUUUAAUUCCAUAUACCUAGGAUCUGUUCAGUAGGCAAAUGCCCUCACAUAAAAAUACUUUUGCAAGAAUUGAAACUUCACUGUCUAAUCAGGCCACUGAUAUUCUCUUAAACUAGUCUGUGCUUUCCAUUUAAAUUGUACCCAGGGAGGAAGUAUCCUGUGGUGGAGAAAGCAUUCACCUGAGAAUCUAAAGACCUGCACUCUAGUUCCUCAUUUGAGACUCAGAAAUUCUGUGACCUUGAGCAAAUUUUGGCCCUUAGUAUCUUCACUGGGAUAAAAUAAUGGAGAAAAGUUACCUUUCAAAUCCCUUCUCACUCCAGAAUGCUGUUUUGCCAAGCCUAUUAGAGGAGAACUAAUGUUUUAACAGUUCAGUUCUAUUGAGUCAGCACAUAUUUAUUGAGCAUCUACUGUUGUGCCCUAGUGACUUAAAAGCAUUGAUAAAAGUGCAUUCUUAGAAACAUGCAAUGCACUGGGCGAAUCCUACUCAUUUUAUAAACAUGCUGUGAUGGUGAUUUUACUUAAUCCACAGACCCUGAAACCUCCCAAGCAGGUAGCUCAGUGUAGUGGCAGUUUUAAAAUGACAAAGACCUCUUUCUUGAAAACUGACUCAGCUACAAUCAGUGUGCUUGUGACAAGACACUUCACUUUUCUUGGUCAUGAUUUUCUUCUCUGUGAAUUUGGGACAAUGAGGCCCACCUUAAAUGGCUAUGGUGAAGAGCAAGAACCCUACCUUCAGUAGAACAGCUGAGCAGAAUAACCUAGUAGGAAUAUAUUAAGUUUUGAGCUCAGCAGACCAGGUUCAAGGGCUGGCUUUAUGAUUUCUUAGAUAUGUUACUGUUUGAAAGUCAGUUAAUUUCUCCAAGCCUCAGCUUCUUGUGUGAGAUGGGAUAAUAACAUUUACCACACACAAUUACUGUAUGGGAAGAGUUCAGCAUAGUUUGUAACACUUGGUAAGAAUUCAGUUAAUAAGAGCAAUUACUGUGAAUUACCUACAAAUUCAGAAUUGGCCUAUCUAGACACAGUAAGCAGCUGGAGUUUACUUUUGUAUUACAAAGGGAAGGAAUCAUGUCAGAAAAGAGUAUAAAUGGUCUCAGGGCAGUGGCUCACACCUGUAAUCCCAGCACUUUGGAAGGCCAAGGCAGGUGGAUCACUUGAGGUCAGAAGUUCGAGACCAGCCUGACCAACAUGAUGAAACCCCGUCUCUACUAAAAAAAUAAUAAUAAUACAAAAAUUAGCUGAGUGUGGUGGCAGGCGCCUGUAGUCCCCGCUACUCGGGAGGCUGAGGCACGAGAAUCACCUGAGUCUGGGAGGCAGACAUUGCAGUGAGCCGAGAUAGUGCCACUGCACUCCAGACUGGGUGACACAGUGAGACUCCAUCUCAAAAAAAAAAAAAAAAAAGAAAAAGAAAAAGAAAAAAGUAUAAAUGGUAGUCUUAGAAAAAAUUCUAAUCUACCUAAAAGAUAAGCUAUUGUUACAUAGAUAUAACCAACUCCAUGUAUUGAAUUUACACAAAAAUAAUGAUUGCGAUGAAAACAAAGGUUAACAUUGCUUUGAUUUGCAAAUUAUUCUAUUUGUGACAAAGACUUCUACCUAACCUAUUAUUUGUGAAGUUAUUUCAGUAUUUGAAAUAGAGAUUAAAAAUAUUGUAUUUUCUUGGCACGAUUGAAGUUUGGAGGGGUUGAAAGUGAAUUUACUUUGAGGCAUUAGGUUCUUUGGUAUGGGCAACUAUGAUUCAAUUUAUUAGAAGGAUAUUGGUGACCACAACACACCAAAUCAAUGGAAGUCUGAAGGAGCAGUUCCAGAAGUAGAAUAGGAACAAGGAAAGAGACUUUUGGCAGGAACAGUUUCUUCCCUCCUUGUAUCUGGGUUGAAAGUCCAGUUGACCAGGCUUAGAUCUUAGAAGGCCUUCCCUCCAGAUCCUUUCAACAGAAAGAAUCUGUCCAGAGGCUACUCUUUACUUUCAUUGAGGAAGAACAGAUUAUCUGAAUUUUCUGAUCUACUAGAACUCUCCACAAUGGGGGAAAAGCAAAUCCUCCAAAGGAAAUGGAAGAUGUUGAUAGGAAGUGGAGAUGGAUGUUGGGUGACCAAUAUUAACAAAGGUCCCUACGGACAGACUUGUUUCCAUAUUUGACUCUGCCACUUGCUAUACAAAUUACUCCACUUUCCCAAGUCUAUUGUAAAAUGAAGGUAAUGGUAAACCCAACUCCACAGGAUUGCUAUGAAAUAUAAAUAUAGCAAUGUUUAUAAAGUGCCCAGCAUAAUAACUGUCACAUAAGUAUGUCUAUUAAGUUUCAGUAAAUCAAACUUUCCUUUCUUAUUUCAGUGAUGCCUGUGUUAGGCUUUUCUAUAUUAGCUCCAUGUAUAUUUACUUAUAUAUUUCUUACAUUCAUGUGUAUUAGUAUUUUAUUAUCAAAGUAUGUACUUCCAGAGAAAAAAGAUCAUGCCUCACUUUAACCAGUGCCAUUUGCUUUUGAUGAUGACAGUGACAAUAACAAUAAUAACAGGGAGGCAUUGUCCUAGUAAUUAGUUUUAAGUACUUUUUGAGACUUUAAAAAUAAUCUACAUAAUAUGGUAUUUAUACACAUAGUCAAUGGUUAUAGUUAUGUUUAGCAUAUAGGUAUCCAUUUUCUUUUUCAUGGUCACGCUGAGGGACCCUGAUGACACAUAGACCAUAUUGCCCUUACAAGGCUCUUAAUGACAGAAUGGUUGGCAUAGCCUUACUUUCCUAAAUAGUUUGCUGAUUCACUUGUUCCAUUUUUAGACAUCAGCAGAUCGGCAUUGGUGACAUCUGCUAAUUAUUUGGUUUGACUCGUGACUGGCAUGAGACUUCCAUCUGCAUCAAUCAAUGGAGGCAAUAAGCACAGACAGAUCUGGAACCCUUGCCUACUGUGACAUACAGCCGCAGUAGCAGGCAAGCCUGGGUCAGCUCCAGAGCGGCAAUGGAGGGAAAUUCCCAGGACUCUGGGUGUCUUGGAAGUUUCCAAGGCCUGCAACUGAUCACAGAUCCUGGUUUUCCUCCCAUUGGCUAAAAAGAUAAUAAAUACAAGUUACAGCUUGACUACUGUCUGAAAAAAUCUUGUAAUGGUUAAUGGAAGAAAGAAGAGAAAGUCCAGAUGUUUGUUUUUUUUCCCUGCUUAGUGUGAGUUGAAUGCUAACUUGAGACUAGGUCUAAAGUAGAUCAGAAAAUGCUUUCUCUUUAUAAGUCAAUUCAUACCAGAAAAAAUAUAGGACACAGACAAUGCCCAAUAGUUACACUGGGACAUGGAAAUGGAGAGGAAGGGGAGUAACACUUGUGGGGUUGAUAUUAUCAUUUCAUCAUCUAUCUGAAAUAUCGCACAAGGGAGGGAAAACUGAAACAGUAAAAGCCACAUACAGAUUCCACUGUUUUUAACAUUACAUUUGUUUCUCAUUCAUUUAACUUUCAAUAAAUAUUUAUUGAAAACUCGCAAUAUACUAAGCUUUGAAAACACAACAAAGAAUAAAAUGAAGCCCUUGGUCUUUUGGACUUUACUUUUCAUGGGCAGGGUACAGAUAGAGAACAAGGCGGAAUAAUGUUCAAGUAAAUAAGCCAGGUAAUUUCAAACACUAAUAAGCGUUACAAUCAUGAUAAAGCAGGGCGAUGUGAUUGAGAGUGGCUGGAGGUGAGGGUUUGUUUUAGAUCUGUGCUGUCCAAUACAGUUGCCACUAGCCAUAUGUGCCUCCUGAGUAUUUGAAAUGUGUCCAGUCCAUGUUGAGAUGUGCUGUAAGAGAUGAACUGAAUUUCAAAAACUUAGUAUGAGAAAAAGAAUAGAAAAUUAUCUCAUUAACAUUUUUAUACUAAUCGUUGAAAAUAUCUUAGAUAUACUGGAUUAAAUAAAAAUAUCAUGAAGAAGGAUUUAACCUCUUUUUAUGUGCUUUCACUGUGGCUACUUGAGCAUCUAAAAUUGCACUCACACUUGUUCUUUACCUUUUUGUACUGAGCAGCACUAUGGAUGGAUAGUGUCGUCAGGGUGGGCCACCCAGCCUCUUAAGAAGAUGAUAAUACACUUAGGAGGAACUGGGCAUGCAAAGGUCUCAGGGCAGAGUAGUGCAGGCAAGGAGAACAGCAAUUGCGAAGAACCUGAGGUGGGAACCAGCUUGGUGAGUUGGAAAAGAAAGAAAGCCAGUAUGCCUGGAGAGAAGGCCAGGAGACAAGGAGGUCAAAAAUAAGGUAAACCCCCGAGACCAAGGCUUGCUCAUGCAGGGCUUUGUAAAUGAGAGUAAAAAGUUUAAUACAAGGCUGGUCACAGUGGCUUGCACCUGUAAUGCCAGCAC
rnacentral:lncRNA from 10 species